GGACGGGAGUGGGACACUGAGACGGAGUGGCUCCCUUGGUAAAAUUCGCGAUGUUCUGAAGCGUAGCAGCGAGAUGCUGGUCAAGAAACUGCAAGGAAAUGGACCACCUGAGCCAAAAAAUCCCAGCAUGAAGCGAGCAUCCUCUCUGAAUUACCUCAACCGAACCAGCGAAGAAUCAUUGCAGGGAUCCCGCAAUAACUUGGCAGAGUCAAGGGGUUUGAGUGCCAGUAAUGUGGAUCUCUGUAAUCAUUCCUCUCUCCUUGAGCAGAACUAGCCAUUUCAGGGAGUGAGGGGCAGCUGAUCCUUAUGAUGAAGACACCUGGAGUCAGGGACCUGUUGAAUUGCUGCAGCCUGGAUUUGACCUUAGCUCCUCCUCCUGACACAUGUGGAACGUGAUGCUGUACAGUUCAUGUGAAUAAUCCAGAGUAGGGUCUGUCAGAGUGUGAAGGAAACCAGGCUGACGUGUCCAAUCCAUCACCAUAACUCUCUCUUCUCAAUGACAGUCAAAACAGGAGAUGGUAAUCAAAGCUGAGCAUUAACAGGCAAAACUUUAGUCUGUACACAUCACCCCACCGCACACAACAGCAACUCCAUCUCUCUCCCUGUACUGCCAACUGCCUGUAAGCAGCUCCUUCUGUAUACUUUCAGGAGCAUAUACAGUGUCUCCCCUAGACCAUAUUUUCAGCAGUCUGUACUUCCUCCACCUCCCUCUCCCUGUCUUCUCAGCUAUUGGUAUUGUCCUCAUUCUAUGCCUGUACGUUCAGCACACUGUGUCGCUUUCAGGUCUCCCUGCCUGUGUGUUCAUCAGACUGUGCCCCUUUCACCUCUCCCUGCCUGUACAGCCAGCAGACUGUAUCCCUUUCACC